AUGAUUCAGCUAAUGUCAGUGGUUUAUAAGCUGACUAGUUUAUUCUUGGCAGAAGCUUCUGCAAACAUUUAGCAAAGGAAAUGGUUGCUUCUAAAAUUGGACCUCUACUAAGAUAUUCCUUCUCUCUCCUGUGUAUUUCAUGAUGGUCCAUGCUGCCUAAAAUCUGGCUUUAAAGGGACACUGCUGUUUAAU